CGAUCUUCAGGGGUACGUGUCUUCCAUCCAGGUCCCAAUAUCAUCACCAGAUGAGAAUAUGUAUGGAUUCAUGAACAAGAAAAUUGCUUAACCAUUUGAUCAAGAGAGAUUGGAAAAUCAAGAUGAAGCAGGUCUGGGUGAAAGAGCUGUGAAUGGAUUAAUGGAACAGAAAGGAGGUGUGGAGAUCCUUCUAUUACAUGUUAAUGAUCACCAGGGAACAUCCACUACAAUAGAACAUCCCACUAAAUCACCAGUAGACACAAGAGAAUAUGUGGCCAGUUGACUUUGGCCAGCCUCUGUCAUUAGAUGUCAAUGUUCAAACAACGGUACAUGAAUGGCAUAGCCCUGGUAGCAGGAGUGGGGGCUAUGCAUGGAUCCAGCAAUACACACUCCCACUCCACAACAUUGACCCAGCCACCAAGGCUGACAAAAUAUUCAACCUUCCAGCAACAGAAAC
rnacentral:lncRNA from 1 species